rnacentral:rRNA from 1 species
GACGAACGCUGGCGGCGUGCUUAACACAUGCAAGUCGUACGGUAAGGCCCUUUCGGGGGUACACGAGUGGCGAACGGGUGAGUAACACGUGAGUAACCUGCCCACAACUUUGGGAUAACGCUAGGAAACUGGUGCUAAUACUGGAUAUGUGCUCCUGCUGCAUGGUGGGGGUUGGAAAGCUCCGGCGGUUGUGGAUGGACUCGCGGCCUAUCAGCUUGUUGGUGGGGUAGUGGCCUACCAAGGCGGCGACGGGUAGCCGGCCUGAGAGGGUGACCGGCCACAUUGGGACUGAGAGACGGCCCAGGCUCCUACGGGAGGCAGCAGUGGGGAAUAUUGCACAAUGGGCGCAAGCCUGAUGCAGCAACGCCGCGUGCGGGAUGACGGCCUUCGGGUUGUAAACCGCUUUCAGCAGGGACGAAGCUUUUUGUGACGGUACCUGCAGAAGAAGCACCGGCUAACUACGUG